UGGGAGAAGAUAUGAGUUAUUUGGCUUUC
rnacentral:piRNA from 1 species